rnacentral:rRNA from 1 species
UACGUAGGGCGCAAGCGUUGUCCGGAAUUAUUGGGCGUAAAGAGCUCGUAGGCGGCGUGUCGCGUCGGUUGUGAAAGCCCGGGGCUUAACUCCGGGUCUGCAGUCGAUACGGGCAUGCUUGAGUUCGGUAGGGGAGAUCGGAAUUCCUGGUGUAGCGGUGAAAUGCGCAGAUAUCGGGAAGAACACCCGUGGCGAAGGCGGCUCUCUGGGACGGUACUGACGCUGAGACGCGAAAGCGUGGGGAGCGAACAGG